GCUCAGGAGAGUGCUGCCUACUGUGGUCCC
rnacentral:piRNA from 1 species